AAAGUUCAGGGGUACUUUACAGCAAUCGUUCUUAUGAAAGAAAAACAGGGAGAAGAGAGAGAACUGGUUCAAAAGUUAACUGAAAUAAUGUGUCAUGUUUCCUCUUAUCUGUUUGUAUCUGCAUGAGCAGGGAAAGAAUUUGCUAGAUACCUUUGCUUGCAAGGCAGAUUUGUUUUUAGCAAGGUGCUUGGCUGGAUAUGCAAGCUUAUGUCUUCAAAGACAUAAGAAUCUGAAACAGUAUUAAUUUCUUCAAGAAUGUCUUCCUUUUCCUAGUGCACUGAGAUUACAUUAUUUUCCGCUACCUAUUUCUUCACUGUAAGUCCCAUUCUUCUGAAAGGCAUUUCUUCUGAAUGGACAUAGGAAAGAUUGCACUGCACUGUAACAGAAACACAUUCGCCUCCAUCCAAGUCCACCUCUGUUCUGUGCAACCAGUGUUAUUAAGUAGCAGACUGGGAGGGACAUUGGAAUUUACAACGGGCAACACAGAUAGGAUGACUGCAAAUUCUUAUCCCAAACCUGCACUACAAAUAUGGACUACAUCACGCUUUUCUCAGUCUGGGGGGAAGAAGUUUCUGAGCAUCAAAUACCUCUGCUGGAUUGAAGCAACUGCAUAAUGUGUUCUGGUGCGUGCAGCAAAAGUAUAACAAACAAGCAAAUAAAGAUGUUGGGAUAACCCAAACUAAUCAUCCUUACCCAGAGGAGCUCAAGGUAGUUUAAACGGGGAUCUGCAUUUUAUUCCUGCUGCAACCCUGUGAAGUAGGUUGGGCCCAAAGUCAUCUAAUGAAUUACCACGACUGAGAGUAGACUUGAGAUUCAGAAUCCUCUAAGCAGGUCAUUUUGGUAGCAUUUUGCUGCUUUACACUUUGAUCAGCCAUUUGUUUGCAUAUAAUUUUUUUCUACAAGUAUUGCAACUCUCUCCAUUUAAAAAAAAAAAAGAAAAUAUUGCUCUGAUUUUAAGAUGUUACGGUAACAUAUGUAUUAUAUUAAGGCACAUUUCUGGAAACAUGUUCAUAUGGUGUGGAGAAGAGAAAGGGGUGGAAGGGUGAAGGAGAGAAAUGGAGUGUUCUCCACAAAACCCUGCACAUUCCAAGCACAUUUACUUCUGGAAAACUGUCAACUACCCCAAAAUGGAUCCCUGUGUACUGCAAGAGAAAACUGAAUAUUUGGGAAAUUCUUUGGCACUUUCUUUGCCCUGAAGAUAAAGCUUUGCUUUGCACAUUCUUGAUGUAAAUAAAUACAUACAUACAUAUGUCCA